UACAGAGGGGGCAAGCGUUGUUCGGAAUUACUGGGCGUAAAGGGCGCGUAGGCGCCUGUUAAGUCGAACGUGAAAUCCCCGGGCUCAACCCGGGAACUGCGUCCGAUACUGGCAGGCUUGAGUACUAAAGAGGGUCGCGGAAUUCCCGGUGUAGAGGUGAAAUUCGUAGAUAUCGGGGAGGAACACCGGUGGCGAAGGCGGCGACCUGGGUAGAUACUGGACGCUGAUGCGCGAAAGCGUGGGGAGCAAACGGG
rnacentral:rRNA from 1 species